UACGAAGGGGGCUAGCGUUGCUCGGAUUGACUGGGCGUAAAGGGCGCGUAGGCGGUUUGUACAGUCAGACGUGAAAUUCCUGGGCUCAACCUGGGGGCUGCGUUUGAUACGUGCAGACUUGAGUUCGGAAGGGGGUCGUGGAAUUCCCAGUGUAGAGGUGAAAUUCGUAGAUAUUGGGAAGAACACCGGUGGCGAAGGCGGCGACCUGGUCCGAUACUGACGCUGAGGCGCGAAAGCGUGGGGAUCAAACAGG
rnacentral:rRNA from 1 species